rnacentral:rRNA from 1 species
UACGGAGGGUGCGAGCGUUGUCCGGAAUCACUGGGCGUAAAGGGCGCGUAGGCGGCAGGCCAAGCGUGCGGUGAAAGUCCGGGGCUCAACCCCGGAUCUGCCGUGCGGACUGGUUUGCUAGAGCACUGUAGAGGCGAGUGGAAUUCCGGGUGUAGCGGUGGAAUGCGUAGAGAUCCGGAAGAACACCGGUGGCGAAGGCGGAUCUCUGGGCCGAUACUGACGCUGAGGAGCGAAAGCGUGGGGAGCGAACAGG